rnacentral:rRNA from 1 species
CCUCCAGACUCCUACGGGAGGCAGCAGUGAGGAAUAUUGGUCAAUGGGCGGGAGCCUGAACCAGCCAAGCCGCGUGAAGGAAGAAGGCGCCAGGCGUCGUAAACUUCUUUUGUCGGGGAACAAAGGGCGCCACGCGUGGCGUUGUGAGUGUACCCGAAGAAAAAGCAUCGGCUAACUCCGUGCCAGCAGCCGCGGUAAUACGGAGGAUGCGAGCGUUAUCCGGAUUUAUUGGGUUUAAAGGGUGCGUAGGCGGUCCGGAAGGUCAGGGGAAAAGGCCCGGGGCUCACCCCCGGCGAGCCGUUGAAACUGGGGAUCUUGAGUGGGCGAGAAGUAUGCGGAAUGCGUGGUGUAGCGGUGAAAUGCAUAGAUAUCACGCAGAACUCCGAUUGCGAAGGCAGCAUACCGGCGCCCGACUGACGCUGAGGCACGAAAGCGUGGGGAUCGAACAGGAUUAGAUACCCUCGUAGC